rnacentral:rRNA from 1 species
CGGCGUUGCGGCGGCUUACCAUGCAAGUCGAGCGGUAGCACAGGGGAGCUUGCUCCCUGGGUGACGAGCGGCGGACGGGUGAGUAAUGUCUGGGAAACUGCCUGAUGGAGGGGGAUAACUACUGGAAACGGUAGCUAAUACCGCAUAACGUCGCAAGACCAAAGAGGGGGACCUUCGGGCCUCUUGCCAUCAGAUGUGCCCAGAUGGGAUUAGCUAGUAGGUGGGGUAAUGGCUCACCUAGGCGACGAUCCCUAGCUGGUCUGAGAGGAUGACCAGCCACACUGGAACUGAGACACGGUCCAGACUCCUACGGGAGGCAGCAGUGGGGAAUAUUGCACAAUGGGCGCAAGCCUGAUGCAGCCAUGCCGCGUGUGUGAAGAAGGCCUUCGGGUUGUAAAGCACUUUCAGCGAGGAGGAAGGUGGUGAACUUAAUACGUUCAUCAAUUGACGUUACUCGCAGAAGAAGCACCGGCUAACUCCGUGCCAGCAGCCGCGGUAAUACGGAGGGUGCAAGCGUUAAUCGGAAUUACUGGGCGUAAAGCGCACGCAGGCGGUUUGUUAAGUCAGAUGUGAAAUCCCCGGGCUCAACCUGGGAACUGCAUUUGAAACUGGCAAGCUAGAGUCUCGUAGAGGGGGGUAGAAUUCCAGGUGUAGCGGUGAAAUGCGUAGAGAUCUGGAGGAAUACCGGUGGCGAAGGCGGCCCCCUGGACGAAGACUGACGCUCAGGUGCGAAAGCGUGGGGAGCAAACAGGAUUAGAUACCCUGGUAGUCCACGCUGUAAACGAUGUCGAUUUGGAGGUUGUGCCCUUGAGGCGUGGCUUCCGGAGCUAACGCGUUAAAUCGACCGCCUGGGGAGUACGGCCGCAAGGUUAAACUCAAAUGAAUUGACGGGGGCCCGCACAAGCGGUGGAGCAUGUGGUUUAAUUCGAUGCAACGCGAAGAACCUUACCUACUCUUGACAUCCAGAGAACUUUCCAGAGAUGGAUUGGUUGCCUUCGGGAACUCUGAGAACAGGUGCUGCAUGGCUGUCGUCAGCUCGUGUGUGAAAUGGUGGGUUAAGUCCCGCAACGAGCGCAACCCUUUAUCCUUUGUUGCAGCGGUUCGCCGGACCUCAAGGAGACUGCAGUGAUAACUGGAGGAAGGGGGGGAAUGACGUCAAGUCAUCAUUGGGCCUUCGAGAUACGACUACCCACUUGCUACAUAUUGGGCGAUAUACCGAUGAGAUAGGCGUUACUCAUC